GGUGGUUCUUGUGGGUAUAAUAUAGUGAAUUCAACAGAUGGAGUGCUUGUAAUAAAUUGCACUUUGCAUUGCGAACCCCCGAUGGCCAUGAAUGAUUCAACGCCUUGCUUGUUCAAUUCGUCCGUGCCGUACUCUGAAAUGAAACAAGGCGUAAAUUACACGUGCAUGGAAGGUGAAUGUCAGAAUGGCACCUGUGUUUCGACUUCAAAGAACGCAACCUGCUGGCUGCUACCACCUCCGGUCCUUUAUUAUCUUAAUGGUAGCAUGGUUGAGCCGUAUGA
rnacentral:lncRNA from 1 species